GAGCAUAAAACUCCUAGUUCAUUAAUAAAAGAAACAUAAGUAUAUAAUAAGCAUUCCCAACAAUCAAAUAGAGGGCAUAGACAUUCCAAACAUGCAAAUCUGACAAGUAACUGUCUAGAGAGAAUCAGCAUGUAAAUCAGAUGUAAAUCAGCAUUAAAAAGAGAAAGAUAGGCAAGUGUUAAAUAAAAUGUAAUAAUAGGUAUAACAAUAUAAAAGAAUAAAAAAGGGGAGAAACCUAUUAAGACCACAUAAAAAAAGCUAAAUGGUUUAUGUAUUAGUACCUUAAAACAAUAUAGUUUAUGUAUUAGUACCUUUAAACAAUAUGUAAAAUUCUUAAUUAAAAGUGGCAAACUUCGAAGUCUAAAUUUAGCCCAUAG